rnacentral:rRNA from 1 species
GACGAACGCUGGCGGCGUGCCUAAUACAUGCAAGUAGAACGCUGAAGGAGGAGCUUGCUUCUCUGGAUGAGUUGCGAACGGGUGAGUAACGCGUAGGUAACCUGCCUGGUAGCGGGGGAUAACUAUUGGAAACGAUAGCUAAUACCGCAUAAUAGCAGUUGUUGCAUGAUAACUGUUUGAAAGGUGCAAUUGCACCACUACCAGAUGGACCUGCGUUGUAUUAGCUAGUUGGUGGGGUAACGGCUCACCAAGGCGACGAUACAUAGCCGACCUGAGAGGGUGAUCGGCCACACUGGGACUGAGACACGGCCCAGACUCCUACGGGAGGCAGCAGGAGGGAAUCUUCGGCAAUGGACGGAAGUCUGACCGAGCAACGCCGCGUGAGUGAAGAAGGUUUUCGGAUCGUAAAGCUCUGUUGUAAGAGAAGAACGAGUGUGAGAGUGGAAAGUUCACACUGUGACGGUAUCUUACCAGAAAGGGACGGCUAACUACGUG